GGGCCUGUGGCGCAGUUGGGAGCGCGCUUCCAUGGCAUGGAAGAGGUCGAGAGUUCGAAUCUCUCCAGGUCCACCA
rnacentral:tRNA from 4 species